UUCCAUUUGCAGUAGCAUCAAAAAGAGUAAAAUACUUAGGAAUGUAUUUAACCAACCAAGUGGAAAACUUGUACACUGAGAACUACGAAACAUUCUGAAAGAAAGAAGUCCUAAAUAAAUGGAAAGACAUCCUGUGUACAUGGAUUAGAGGAUUUAUUAUUGUUAAGAUGGUAAUAAUCCUCAAAGCAAUCUACAGGUUCAAUGCAAUCCCUAUCAAAAUCCUAAUGUCUCUUUGCAGAAAGGCAAGAUUUAAAAAUUCACAUGGAAUUGCAAAGGAGCGCAAAGAGCCAAACAAUCUUGAAAAAUAGAGCAAAGUUUCAAGGACUCAUGCCUCCUGAUUUAAAAAUUUACCAUAUAGCCAUAGUAAUCAAAACAGUAUGGUACUAGCAUAAAGAUAAAUAUAUACACCAAUGGAAUAGAAUUGAGAGUACAAAAAUAAAUCCAUAUACAUCUGUAGUCAGUUGAUUUUCAGCAGGGGUGCCAAGACCACUCAAUGAGGGAAAGAAUAGUCUCUUCAGCAAAUGGUGCUGAGACAACUGGAUAUUUACUUGCAAAAGAAUGAAUUUGGACCCCUCCCUCACAUCAUAUACAAAAAUUAACUCAAAAUAGAUCAAAGUGCUAAAUGUAAGCUCUAAAACCAUAAAACUUUUCAGAAGAAAACAGUAGUAAAUUUUCAUGACUUUGGAUUUGGCAAUAAAUUUUUAGAUAUGAUACCAAAAGCACAAGGAAUGAAAGAAAAAAUAGGUAAAUUGGACUUCAUCAAAAUUAGAAACUUCUGUGUGUCAAAGGACAGUAUCAAAGUGAAAAGACAACCUACAGAAUGGGAGAAAAUGUUUGCAAAUCAUGUAUCUGAUAAGGGUCUAGUAUCCAGAUAUGUAAAGAACCCUUAAAACUCAACAACAAAAAGACAAAUAACUCAAUUUUAAAAUGGACAAAGGAUUUGAAUAAACGUUUCUCAAAAAAUAUGUACAAAUGGCCAGCAAACAUAUGAAAAAGAUGCUCAACAUCAUUAGUAAUUAUAGAAAUGCAAAUCAACACCGCAAUAAGAUGCCACUUCACACCCACUUGGAUGGCUAUAAUUUUAAAAAAAUGGAAAAUAAGUGUUUGUGAGAAUGGAGAAAUUGCAGCUAUUGUACAUUGCUGGUGGGAAUGAAAAUGAUGCGGCUUCUGUGGAAAGCAGUUUGGCGGUUCCUCAAAAGGUUAAACAUAGAAUUAGCAUAUGACCCAGCAAUUCCAUUCCUAGACAUAUACCCAAAAGAAUUGAAAACAUAUUCAGACAAAUAAUUGUACAUGAAUGCUCAUAGCAGCAUUAUUCACAAUAGCCAAAGGUGGGAACAAUAGAUGAAUGAAGAAAUAGUGGUAUAUCCAUACAACGACAUGUUAUUCAGCCAUACAAAGGAAUCUAGUACUAACACAUGCUCUAAUGUGAAUGAACUUUGAAAACAUCAUGCUAAAUGAAAGAAUCCACACAUAAAAGGUCAUAUAUUGUGAUUCUGUUUAUAUGAAUAUCCAGAACAGUUAAAUUUAUAGAGACAAAAAGCAGAUUGAUGUGUGCCAGGGGCUGGGGGGAGGAAAGAAUGGGAAGUGACUGCUUAACGGGUAUGUGGUCUCCCUCGUGAGUGAUCAAAAUAUCUUGGAACUAGAUUGAGUUCACAACAUUGUGAACAUAAUAAGUGCUACUUCACUGUACAUUUUUAAAUGGUUAAUUUGAUGUUAUGUGAAUUUGAUUUCAAUAAAAAAUAUAUAUAUAUCAGUCACAAAAGACAGUAACCAACACUUAUGUAAUACUUUUUAGGUGCCAAACACUGUUCUGAAUUCUUUACAUAUAUUAACUCAAUUCUCAUAACAAACAUAUACUUAUUACUUACAUACUUAUAUUAUUAGCAACAAACAUAUACUUAUGAACACAUAUUAUUAUCCCUGCUUUACAGAUGAGGAAACUGGGGGACAUAGAAGCUCAAUGACUUACCCGAGGCUCCUCAGCCAAUGGCAGAGGCUGAGACUUGAAUCUGGGUAAUCCAGUUCCAGAAUCCUGCCUCCCCAGCACCGUGCUGAAAGGACAGCGGCUUGAGAUCCCCCUUGACGUGGAAACCGAAGUUUCUGCAUGGCCUGCACACAGCUCCCUGUGGCCUGGAGGGUCACGCACCUGAACUCACUUCUACAAGCUUCUGCACAGCCUGUGUGCAGCCCACCUGUGGCCGAGGGGUCUGCACAGAGCUGCCACUCCUUCUGCAAGUAAAGCAGAUUGCCCGCAAAGAAACAACAGGCAGAUAGACUAGAGCAAAAAUGAAAGAUUUCUCAACAGCAACAAUGGAAACAGAAGAUGGUAGAAUACUGUCUUCAAUGCAUGAAGAAAAAACAGCUAUCACCCUAGAAUUCUGUACCAAGGAAAAUAUCUUUCAAGAAUAAUGAUGAAUGACAAAUUUGGAAAACAUUAUAUUGAACAAAAGUCAAAAAACAGAGUAUGUGAUUCUAGUUGCAUAAUAUUCAAGGAGAGACAAAAUUAAACUAUGGUGAUAGAAACCAGAACAGUGGUUACCUGGGACAGGGGGAAUUUGACUAGAAAGAGGCACAAGGGAACUUUCUAGGCUGAAAUGUUCUGUAUCUUAACGGGAGUAGUGAUCACACAAGUCUGCACCUUUGCCAAAACUAACUGGACUGUGCACUGUGGUGCUUAAUUUCCUGUGUCAACUUGACUGGGCUACAGGAUGCCCAGAUAACGGGUUCACCUAUAUCUGGGUAUGUCUGUGAGGAGGUUUCCAGAAGAAAUCAGUGUUUGAAUUGGUAGACUGAGUAAAUCAGAUUGUCCUCCCUCAUGUGAAUUGGCGUCAUCCAAUCCACCGAGAGCUGAAACAGAACAGAAGGUGGAGGAAUGGAGAAUUCGCUUUCUGCCUGAUCACCUGAGCUCAGACAUGGAAGCUCUUCUUCUAGGGCUGUUCAAGGUACAAAUAUCCUUUAAAAGAUAGUCCAGGACAAAAGUACCCAGUGCCUCUGUCACAAGAUGUUCAGAAAUAGAAGAGACCCGUGGAGAAUUGUCUCCCAGUGUUUAGGAACAAAUUGUAUAUGUGAGUUUUUUUCACUGUAAAUUUAUGAAAUUGAAUACAGAUCAAAAGUUAGUGUUCAAA
rnacentral:lncRNA from 1 species